UGAGCUCAGGCAAGACUACCCGCUGAACUUAAGCAUAUCAAUAAGCG
rnacentral:rRNA from 1 species